GUUCUAAAGGAGUGGUUGGGCAGGUUCUGAAGGAGUGGUUGGGCAGGUUCUGAAGGAGUGGUUGGGCAUGUUCUGGAGGAGUGGUUGGGCAGGUUCUAAAGGAGUGGUUGGGCAGGUUCUAAAGGAGUUGUUGGGCAGGUUCUAAAGGAGUGGUUGGGCAGGUUCUGAAGGAGUGGUUGGGCAGGUUCUGAAGGAGUGGUUGGGCAGGUUCUGGAGGAGUGGUUGGGCAGGUUCUAAAGGAGUGGUUGGGCAGGUUCUGAAGGAGUAGUUGGGCAGGUUCUAAAGGAGUAGUUGGGCAGGUUCUAAAGGAGUUGUUGGGCAGGUUCUAAAGGAGUGGUUGGGCAGGUUCUGAAGGAGUGGUUGGGCAGGUUCUGAAGGAGUGGUUGGGCAGGUUCUGGAGGAGUGGUUGGGCAGGUUCUAAAGGAGUGGUUGGGCAGGUUCUGAAGGAGUAGUUGGGCAGGUUCUAAAGGAGUGGUUGGGCAGGUUCUAAAGGAGUGGUUGGGAAGGUUCUAAAGGAGUUGUUGGGCAGGUUCUAAAGGAGUGGUUGGGCAGGUUCUGAAGGAGUGGUUGGGCAGGUUCUGAAGGAGUGGUUGGGCAGGUUCUGGAGGAGUGGUUGGGCAGGUUCUAAAGGAGUGGUUGGGCAGGUUCUAAAGGAGUAGUUGGGCAGGUUCUAAAGGACUGGUUGGGCAGGUUCUAAAGUAGUAGUUGGGCAGGUUCUAAAGGAGUGGUAGGGCAGGUUCUGAAGGAGUGGUUGGGCAGGUUCUGAAGGAGUGGUUGGGCAGGUUCUGAAGGAGUGGUUGGACAGGUUCUAAAGGAGUGGUUGGGUAGGUUCUAAAGGAGUGGUUGGGCAGGUUCUAAAGGAGUAGUUGGGCAGGUUCUAAAGGAGUGGUUGGGCAGGUUCUAAAGGAGUAGUUGGGCAGGUUCUAAAGGAGUGGUUGGGCAGGUUCUAAAGGAGUAGUUGGGCAGGUUCUAAAGGAGUGGUUGGGCAGGUUCUGAAGGAGUGGUGGGGCAGGUUCUGAAGGAGUGGUUGGGCAGGUUCUGAAGGAGUGGUUGGGCAGGUUCUGAAGGAGUGGUUGGGCAGGUUCUGAAGGAAUGGUUGGGCAGGUUCUGAAGGAGUGGUUGGGCAGGAUCUAAAGGAGUGGUUAGGCAGGUUCUAAAGGAGUGGUUGGGCAGGUUCUAAAGGAGUGGUUGGGCAGGUUCUGAAGGAGUGGUUGGGCAGGUUCUAAACGAGUGGUUGGGCAGGUUCUGAAGGAGUAGUUGGUGGCUCUAUCCACGUUGCACUUAAUUCCUUGGUCUCUCUUGGGUAUGUUCAGAGCUCCUGCAGAGGGUGAGUGUGUUUUCGGCUGCAACACAACCUAGGGAACCAUACUUUUUGCAGUCUUUGGGCUGGUUUGCAUUGAAGAUAUGGCCCCUACAAUGUCCUAAUUGGAUAAUUGAUGGCAUGUGCUGCAAUCUUCCGAAGUCUUUUCAUGUGACUGAAGAGGCUUCUUCUCUCAAAGCUUAGACCUUGGAACUGA
ensembl:lncRNA